rnacentral:rRNA from 1 species
CCUACGGUAGGCUGCAGUGGGGAAUAUUGGACAAUGGGCGAAAGCCUGAUCCAGCCAUGCCGCGUGUGUGAAGAAGGCCUUCGGGUUGUAAAGCACUUUCAGUGGGGAAGAAAGCCUUGGGGCUAAUACCCUCGAGGAAGGACAUCACCCACAGAAGAAGCACCGGCUAACUCCGUGCCAGCAGCCGCGGUAAUACGGAGGGUGCGAGCGUUAAUCGGAAUUACUUGGCGUAAAGCGCGCGUAGGCGGUCUGAUAAGCCGGUUGUGAAAGCCCCGGGCUCAACCUGGGAACGGCAUCCGGAACUGUCAGGCUAGAGUGCAGGAGAGGAAGGUAGAAUUCCCGGUGUAGCGGUGAAAUGCGUAGAGAUCGGGAGGAAUACCAGUGGCGAAGGCGGCCUUCUGGACUGACACUGACGCUGAGGUGCGAAAGCGUGGGUAGCAAACAGGAUUAGAUACCCGAGUAGUC